UCCUGCACGGAGCAAGAAAGAAGGCAUUAAAUAUCCGGAAGAUAAUAAGACGUAUAUCCAGUAGCACCACAAAAACAGAUGGCAAGUAAGACACCAAACCAAUAACCAAGGACAGCGUCUUACCUUCAGGACUCUUCUCACGAUUCCCUAGUGAGAUGAGAAGCCGGUGCGGUGGAUGACACAGGGUCGCUGAUGUGAGCACGCUCCUGACCUGACAGUGACCCAGGCAGGCCACUGCCAGCUUCCAACAAGAGGCAGACGCACUCCCAGACGCGGCUAAACAAGGAACCGUAAUCCCUCUCACUGAACAAUGACGUCGCUGGCAUUGAAACACGGAGUAACCGCGAGCAUGCAAUUGGUGUGUUUGGGAAGCAGAGUGCUUGAGGUGCUGCCGCUUACAUAUCCGCACAGUCGGGCCCGGAUGCGAGUGAGUGCAUGCACUGAGGGAUCAUGCAAAAGAUCAGGCAGGUCACAACGUUGGGUAUCACCACCUACAGAGCACCGCACAUCCUCUGCCGCGAGCCAAAGAGCAUCUCCACCCACGCAGGCGGCCCGGCUCCUGCGUGCUGCUCUCACAUCAUCUGCCAACGGGGACCUUCCAUGUGAGCACUCUCCAUCGGGGCGUACAGAGCUCUUCACCGCAUGUCACUUCUGUUUGUGCAGGUUGCCUGAAGACAUUCAGUUGAUUUAUAUGUUCUAAACAUACAUACCAUAUGUAUAAAAUAAUAUACAGGCAGUCACCAGGAUAGAACGUCCAACUUACGGACAACUCAUGUGUACACACAGUUUGCCAUAAAACAUAUUAUAGUAAAAUUUGAGUUAUUUAACAGUUAUAUACAAUAGUUCAUAGUAAUGAAUACACGCACAGCUUGUGAUGCUCAUGGAGAUACUGCGUGCCUUCAGCAGAUCAUCGACUUGACAUUCAAUACAGUACUGUAUUAUAGUUACUUUUAUUAUUACUGUAUUAUUAUUAUUACUAUCCUUGUUGUUAUAUACUGUAUUAUUAUUACGGUCCUUGUUUUUGUUAUAUUCUGUUUUAUUAUUACUAUCCUUGUUGUUGUAUAAUGUAUUAUUACUAUCCUUGUUUUUAUAUAAUGUAUUAUUAUUACUAUCCUUGUUAUAUAAUGUAUUAUUAUUAUUAUGACUAUCCUUCUUGUUGUUAUAUACUGUAUUAUUAUUACGUUCCUUGUUUUUGUUAUAUUCUGUUUUAUUAUUACUAUCCUUGUUGUUGUAUAAUGUAUUAUUACUAUCCUUGUUUUUAUAUAAUGUAUUAUUAUUACUAUUCUUUUUGUUGUUAUAUACUGUAUUAUUAUUACUAUCCUUGUUGUUAUAUACUGUAUUAUUAUUACUAUCCUUGUUAUAUAAUGUAUUAUUAUUAUUAUUAUUACUAUCCUUGUUAUUAUAUACUGUAUUAUUAUUAUUACUAUCCUUGUUGUUGUUAUAUACUGUAUUAUUAUUAUUACUAUCCUUGUUGUUGUUAUAUACUAUAUUAUCAUUACUAUCCUUGUUGUUAUAUAAUGUAUUAUUAUUAUUACUAUCCUUGUUGUUGUUGUUAUAUACUGUAUUAUUAUUUUUCCGACAGACUUGGCGAACAAAUCUUGUUAGUACCCUGGGGGCUGCCUGUAUAUGAAAUUAAACCCUAACCCCCGCA